rnacentral:misc_RNA from 1 species
GAUGAAGAACGUAGUAAAAUGCGAUAAGUAAUGUGAAUUGCAGAAUUCAGUGAAUCAUCGAAUCUUUGAACGCACAUUGCGCCCGCCAGUAUUCUGGCGGGCAUGCCUGUUCGAGCGUCAUUUCAACCCUCAAGCACAGCUUGGUGUUGGGACUCGCGUUAAUUCGCGUUCCCCAAAUUGAUUGGCGGUCACGUCGAGCUUCCAUAGCGUAGUAGUAAAACCCUCGUUACUGGUAAUCGUCGCGGCCACGCCGUUAAACCCCAACUUCUGAAUGUUGACCUCGGAUCAGGUAGGAAUACCCGCUGAACUUAAGCAUAUCAAUAAGCGUAGGA